GAUGAACGCUAGCGAUAGGCUUAACACAUGCCAGUCGAGGGGCAGCAUGGUCUUAGCUUGCUAAGGCUGAUGGCGACCGGCGCACGGGCGCGUAACGCGUAUGCAGCUUGCCUCACAGAGGGGGAUAACCCGUCGAAAGACGGACUAAUACCGCGUACACUCCAUCUUGGGCAUCCAAGGUAGAGGAAAUGAAAUUCGCUGUGAGAUAGGCAUGCGUCCCAUUAGCUAGUUGGUGAGGUAACGGCUCACCAAGGCGACGAUGGGUAGGGGAACUGAGAGGUUGAACCCCCACACUGGUACUGAGACACGGACCAGACGCCUACGGGAGGCAGCAGUGAGGAAUAUUGGUCAAUGGGCGAGAGCCUGAACCAGCCAAGUCGCGUGAAGGAUGACUGUCUUAUGGAUUGUAAACUUCUUUUAGACGGGAAUAACAAGAGUCACGUGUGACUCCCUGCAUGUACCGUAUGAAUAAGCAUCGGCUAACUCCGUG
rnacentral:rRNA from 1 species